AUGAGCCAUACAAUGAAGCUAUGGGAGAGAGUCAUUGAGCACCGCUUAAGAAGAAUGACAAGCGUGACCAAAAAUCAGUUUGGUUUCAUGCCUGGGAGGUCGACCAUGGAAGCCAUUUUCUUGGUACGACAACUUAUGGAGAGAUAUAGGGAGCAUAAGAAGGACUUGCAUAUGGUGUUCAUUGACUUGGAGAAGGCCUAUGAUAAGAUACCGCAGAAUGUCAUGUGGUGGGCCUUGGAGAAACACAAAGUCCCAGCAAAGUACAUUACCCUCAUCAAGGACAUGUACAAUAAUGUUGUGACAAGUGUUCGAACAAGUGAUGUCGACACCGAUGACUUCCCGAUUAAGAUAGGACUGCAUCAGGGGUCAGCUUUGAGCCCUUAUCUUUUUGCAUUGGUGAUGGAUGAGGUCACAAGGGGUAUACAAGGAGAUAUCCCAUGGUGUAUGCUCUUUGCGGAUGAUGUGGUGCUAGUUGACGAUAGUCGGACGGGGGUAAAUAGGAAGUUAGAGUUAUGA
rnacentral:rRNA from 1 species